UACGGAGGGUGCAAGCGUUAUCCGGAUUCACUGGGUUUAAAGGGUGCGUAGGCGGCUUUAUAAGUCAUUGGUGAAAGCUCGCAGCUUAACUGUGAAGCUGCCAUUGAAACUGUUUAGCUUGAAUGUGGUUGAAGUGGGCGGAAUACAACAUGUAGCGGUGAAAUGCUUAGAUAUGUUGUAGAACACCGAUUGCGAAGGCAGCUCACUAGGCCAAUUAUUGACGCUGAGGCACGAAAGCGUGGGUAGCGAACAGG
rnacentral:rRNA from 1 species